rnacentral:rRNA from 1 species
ACUGCUCAGUAACACGUGGACAACCUGCCCUUAGGUUGGGUAUAAACCCGGGAAACUGGGUAUAAUACCCGAUAGGUCUCGAUUGCUGGAACGCAUCGAGAUUUAAAGCUCCGGCGCCUAAGGAUGGGUCUGCGGCCUAUCAGGUAGUAGUGGGUGUAGCGUACCUACUAGCCUACGACGGGUACGGGUUGUGAGAGCAAGAGCCCGGAGAUGGAUUCUGAGACACGAAUCCAGGCCCUACGGGGUGCAGCAGGCGCGAAAACUUUACAAUGCUGGCAACAGCGAUAAGGGAACCUCGAGUGCCAGGUUACAAAUCUGGCUGUCGAGAUGCCUAAAAAGCAUUUCAUAGCAAGGGCCGGGCAAGACCGGUGCCAGCCGCCGCGGUAACACCGGCGGCUCGAGUGGUAACCGUUAUUAUUGGGUCUAAAGGGUCUGUAGCCGGCCGGAUAAGUCUCUUGAGAAAUCUGGCAGCUUAACUGUCAGGCUUUCAGGAGAUACUGUCUGGCUCGAGGCCGGGAGAGGUGAGAGGUACUUCAGGGGUAGGGGUGAAAUCUUGUAAUCCUUGAAGGACCACCAGUGGCGAAGGCGUCUCACCAGAACGGACCUGACGGCAAGGGACGAAAGCUAGGGGCACGAACCGGAUUAGAUACCCGGGUAGUCCUAGCCGUAAACGAUACUCGCUAGGUGUCGGCCACGGUGCGACCGUUGUCGGUGCCGUAGGGAAGCCGUGAAGCGAGCCACCUGGGAAGUACGGCCGCAAGGCUGAAACUUAAAGGAAUUGGCGGGGGAGCAC